ensembl:snRNA U6 U6 spliceosomal RNA
GUGUUUACUUUGGCAGCACACAUAAUGAAAGUAGAACUAUGCAGAGAUGAUUACCACGGCCCCGUGGAAGAAUAACAUGCAAUAAUGUGAAGCAGUCCACAUUUUU